GUCCGAACUUCUCAUUAUCUUGAGGGAGUCUAUUUUCUCCGGCCAGUGUUGGGUUCCCCCUUAGAGACUGAGGGUUUUUGACAAGAGUCUUCUUCCUCGUUGAGAUGAGGUCCCUUAUGUCAUUGAUGUAGUUCAUUUUUCCCUUAUCACUAGCGUAGCUCAUCAUUUUCCCUUUUUCUCUUCUCAUUUUUUUUUAUGUUUGGGCGAGAGUUUUUCCUUUGUUCCUAACAGGGUUGUAGGGGUGUAGAGGAGCCAUUGAGGAGGCUUUUUUCCUUAUCCAAUCUUGAAUGACCAGCUCUUCAUUUGUGUCAAGAUGAGGUUC
rnacentral:lncRNA from 1 species